AAGAUUUUUUGGACGUAAACCCUAGGAUUUAGAGAAUGUAAGGUGGAGAGGACUAAAUUGAAAAGAGAGAAAGAAAAUGGUAAAUUAACUUAAGUCUGGAGACAAACACAAACCCUAGAUUUUCAAAUCCAUGUAAGACUCCCGAACUAUUUCCAAACCAUAGAUUCCUAAUUAGCUAUAAAAAAAAAGGUUAAAACGAAGGUGAAACGUCGUGAUUUUGUUCUGGGAUGUAAAGCCCAGAUAUGAAGAAAGGGAAGAAGAAGAAGAAAUUGGGAGCCCAAGAUCUGAGAUUCGGAGACGAGAAAAAUGGGAGAUGAAAGAGAAUGUAGAAUAUCUGAGAUUUGGGUGAAAAAUAGAUUUUGCACCAGAACAAAUUAUUCAAAAGCUAGUAGGAU
rnacentral:lncRNA from 1 species